GCCGGUGUGGUUUGCAGACACUGAAGAAGCCACAGGCAGCUGGCCUUGAUUGGAAUACUGAGCAAAGGUCUCUGAAAGGGACGCCUCAAGAGACCCCAGGGUGGGAAAAACCCAAGAGCGGAAGCAAGUUGGAGAUUUUUGCAGCGUACCGCUGGACAACCUGUGCACAGGAUAACCUCCCAUCCACCUCUCUCUCCCCACUACCUCUGGGCCUGGCCAGCCCAGGCAGCAUGUUUGUGAGUGUGAAAGAAAGUUGCAGAGGAUUGAAGAGAAACUCCAAAGCAGAGGCGAGGAGGGGGAGUGGUGGAGAACCCAUGAGGACAACCAUCUCGAAGCACCUCAGUUACUAAACAGAACGUGAGUGUUCUCCGAACAUCCAAUGUGUAAAGAGAUGCUUCCCUGCUGUCAGUGUGCAGCUUUGGGAAGAAUACAGACCUCUGUGGAACAGCUUGCCUGCAGAGGUGUCAGCCACAGAGGUGUCAGCCAUGCCUUGAGAUGGAGGAUCAGGAUGUUGGGGUGAUGGAGAUGACCUGAGUCCUGUGUGAGUG